GGAGAAGCCCGUGGUUGAGGCAAAUCACUCGGCCAAUUCUGGAAGUUCGCAUUUGGCUGCUCGUGUACACGACUCAGAUGCCAAGCCUUCCACCUCGGAGGUUAAGCUUGAGCUCGACGGAGCUUAAAGCGAAAGGAGGUACGCUUUUCGGUCGUUUUGGACUGAUGAUACGCUUGAGGUUGCAGGCACAGAAUGAAGAUUCAUGAAACAAAUUACUUCGGUUU